rnacentral:tRNA from 1 species
GGCGGCAUCGCCAAGUGGUAAGGCUAGGGUCUGCAAAACCCUCACCCCCGGUUCGAAUCCGGGUGCCGCCU